UUACGGCCAUAUCAUGUUGAAACAUUUGUUCCCGUAUGAUCACCGAAGGUAAGCAAAAUUAAACCUGGCCAGUACCUAGAUGGGUGACCAUUUGGAAAUACCGGGUGCUGCAAG